rnacentral:rRNA from 1 species
UACGUAGGGUGCAAGCGUUAAUCGGAAUUACUGGGCGUAAAGCGUGCGCAGGCGGUUUUGUAAGGCAGAGGUGAAAUCCCCGGGCUCAACCUGGGAACUGCCUUUGUGACUGCAAGGCUGGAGUGCGGCAGAGGGGGAUGGAAUUCCGCGUGUAGCAGUGAAAUGCGUAGAUAUGCGGAGGAACACCGAUGGCGAAGGCAAUCCCCUGGGCCUGCACUGACGCUCAUGCACGAAAGCGUGGGGAGCAAACAGG